AAUUACCACCGAGCGGCGGGU
rnacentral:snRNA from 1 species